UACGAAGGGUGCAAGCGUUAAUCGGAAUUACUGGGCGUAAAGCGCGCGUAGGCGGCUUAGCAAGUUAGAGGUGAAAGCCCGAAGCUCAACUUCGGAAUUGCCUUUAAAACUGCAAAGCUAGAAUCAUGGAGAGGUUAGUGGAAUUCCGAGUGUAGAGGUGAAAUUCGUAGAUAUUCGGAAGAACACCAGUGGCGAAGGCGGCUCGCUGGGCAGUGGCUGACGCUGAGGCGCGACAGCGUGGGGAGCAAACAGG
rnacentral:rRNA from 1 species